UCUACGGGAGGCAGCAGUGGGGAAUAUUGCACAAUGGGGGAAACUCUGAUGCAGCGACGCCGCGUGAGUGAAGAAGUAUUUCGGUAUGUAAAGCUCUAUCAGCAGGGAAGAAAUAGCGACCUUUGGGUCGCCAGACGGUACCUGACUAAGAAGCCCCGGCUAACUACGUGCCAGCAGCCGCGGUAAUACGUAGGGGGCAAGCGGUAUCCGGAUUUACUGGGUGUAAAGGGAGCGUAGGGGGCAGCACAAGUCUGAAGUGAAAUGCUGGGGCUAAACCCCGGAAUUGCUUUGGAAACUGUGCAUCUAGAGUGCAGGAGAGGUGAGUGGAAUUCCGAGUGUAGCGGUGAAAUGCGUAGAUAUUAGGAGGAACACCAGUGGCGAAGGCGGCUUACUGGACUGUAACUGACGUUGAGGCUCGAAAGCGUGGGUAGCAAACAGGAUUAGAUACCCUUGUAGUC
rnacentral:rRNA from 1 species